rnacentral:rRNA from 1 species
AACGAACGCUGGCGGCAUGCCUAACACAUGCAAGUCGAACGGAAGGGGCUUCGGCUCCUUCAGUGGCGCACGGGUGAGUAACGCGUGGGAACCUGUCCGAAAGUGGGGAAUAACCGCUGGAAACGGCGGCUAAUACCGCAUACGCCCCGAGGGGGAAAGGCUUUCGAGCCGCUUUCGGAGGGGCCCGCGUCCGAUUAGCUCGUUGGUGGGGUAACGGCCCACCAAGGCUCCGAUCGGUAGCUGGUCUGAGAGGAUGAUCAGCCACACUGGGACUGAGACACGGCCCAGACUCCUACGGGUGGCAGCAGUGGGGAAUAUUGCGCAAUGGACGCAAGUCUGACGCAGCAAUACCGCGUGAGUGAGGAAGGCCUCGGUUGUAAGACUCUGUCAGGGUGGAAAAGUAGGCGAAGUGGUCGUAAUAGGCGC